CCAAUAGCGUAUAUUAAAGUUGUUGCAGUUAAAAAGCUCGUAGUUGAAUUUCGGGGUUAGUAAGUUGGUCGUGCCACUGGUAUGUACUGGCUUUACUGAUUCCUCCUUCUUGUAGAACCGUAAUGCCAUUAAGUUGGUGUUGCGGGGAAACAGGACUGUUACUUUGAAAAAAUUAGUGUUUAAAGCAAGCUAACGCUUGAAUACAUUAGCAUGGAAUAAUGAAAUAGGACGUUCGAUCCUAUUUUGUUGGUUUCUAGGAUUGACGUAAUGAUUAAUAGGGAUAGUUGGGGGCAUUAGUAUUCAAUUGUCAGAGGUGAAAUUCUUGGAUUUAUUGAAGACUAACUACUGCGAAAGCAUUUGCCAAGGAUGUUUUCAUUAAUCAAGAACGAAAGUUAGGGGAUCGAAGACGAUCAGAUACCGUCGUAGUCUUAACCAUAAACUAUGCCGACUAGGGAUCGGAUGAUGUUAAUUUUUUAAUGACUCAUUCGGCGCCUUACG
rnacentral:misc_RNA from 1 species